rnacentral:rRNA from 1 species
CGGCGGACGGGUGAGUAAUGCCUAGGAAUCUGCCUGGUAGUGGGGGACAACGUUUCGAAAGGAACGCUAAUACCGCAUACGUCCUACGGGAGAAAGCAGGGGACCUUCGGGCCUUGCGCUAUCAGAUGAGCCUAGGUCGGAUUAGCUAGUUGGUGAGGUAAUGGCUCACCAAGGCGACGAUCCGUAACUGGUCUGAGAGGAUGAUCAGUCACACUGGAACUGAGACACGGUCCAGACUCCUACGGGAGGCAGCAGUG